rnacentral:rRNA from 1 species
GUUGGUGGGGUAACGGCCUACCAAGGCGAUGAUCCAUAGCUGGUCUGAGAGGACGAUCAGCCACGCUGGAUCUGAGACACGGUCCAGACUCCUACGGGAGGCAGCAGCUAAGAAUAUUGGGCAAUGGAGGAAACUCUGACCCAGCCAUGCCGCGUGGAUGAAGAAGGCCUUCGGGUUGUAAAGUUCUUUUAGUCAUGAAGAUGAUGACAGUAGUGACAGAAAAAGCACCGGCUAACUUCGUGCCAGCAGCCGCGGUAAUACGAAGGGUGCAAGCGUUGUUCGGAUUUACUGGGCGUAAAGCGUCCGUAGGUGGUUUGCUAAGUCAGAGGUGAAAUCCCAGGGCCCAACCCUGGAACUGCCUUUGAUACUGGCAAGCUGGAGCGCGAUAGAGGAAGAUGGAAUAUCUGGUGUAGGGGUGAAAUCCGUAGAUAUCAGAUAGAACACCAAUGGCGAAGGCAGUCUUCUGGAUCGUCGCUGACACUGAGGGACGAAAGCGUGGGUAGCAAACAGAAUUAGAUACUCUGGUAGUCCACGCCCUAAACGAUGCAUGCUUGUUGUUGGUUUCCUUCGGGGGAUCAGUGACGGAGUUAACACGUUAAGCAUGCCGCCUGGGGACUACGAUCGCAAGAUUAAAACUCAAAGGAAUUGACGG